GUCCGCGUGGCCUAAUGGAUAAGGCGUCUGACUUCGAAUCAGAAGAUUGAGGUUCGAAUCCUGUGGCGGACG
rnacentral:tRNA from 1 species